ACGCACGCUGGCGGCGUGCCUAAUACAUGCCAGUAGAACGCUGAAGGAGGAGCUUGCUCUUCUGGAUGAGUUGCGAACGGGUGAGUAACGCGUAGGUAACCUGCCUGGUAGCGGGGGAUAACUAUUGGAAACGAUAGCUAAUACCGCAUAACAGUAGAUGUUGCAUGACAUUUACUUAAAAGGUGCAAUUGCAUCACUACCAGAUGGACCUGCGUUGUAUUAGCUAGUUGGUGGGGUAACGGCUCACCAAGGCGACGAUACAUAGCCGACCUGAGAGGGUGAUCGGCCACACUGGGACUGAGACACGGCCCAGACUCCUACGGGAGGCAGCAGUAGGGAAUCUUCGGCAAUGGACGGAAGUCUGACCGAGCAACGCCGCGUGAGUGAAGAAGGUUUUCGGAUCGUAAAGCUCUGUUGUAAGAGAAGAACGAGUGUGAGAGUGGAAAGUUCACACUGUGACGGUAUCUUACCAGAAAGGGACGGCUAACUACGUG
rnacentral:rRNA from 1 species